rnacentral:rRNA from 1 species
UACGGGGGGGGCAAGCGUUGUUCGGAAUUACUGGGCGUAAAGGGCGCGUAGGCGGCCUGUUAAGUCGAACGUGAAAUCCCCGGGCUCAACCCGGGAACUGCGUCCGAUACUGGCAGGCUUGAAUUCGGGAGAGGGAUGCGGAAUUCCAGGUGUAGCGGUGAAAUGCGUAGAUAUCUGGAGGAACACCGGUGGCGAAGGCGGCUCACUGGCCCGAUACUGACGCUGAGGUGCGAAAGCGUGGGGAGCAAACAGG